ensembl:lincRNA
CUGCUGCUUUAGUACAAAAAGAUGUAUGCUAAUUGCCUACAUAGAAUAUUAAAGACCCAUAGCUUUUAUCUACCUUAAGGGUCUGUACAACACACGAAUUCCACUCUAAACUGAACGCAAAGCUAUGUUCCUCUCUGCCUCAUGGCAGUGGCCACAGCAUCCUUCAAUCUUUUUGUUGAGGCAUACAACUCCACUAGCCCGAUUUCACCAUCAGGUUUCUCAGUGAAGGAUGAAUCUAGGUUAUAAGUUGAAAGUGAGGGUCAAAGGAAGGUAUGGGGAAGUUGAGGAAAUAGGAGGAGGUGUGAAGUGUCAGGGAGUGGAGAAAGUGAGUCUGUUAGUACUAAAAUGGUAUUUUGUUUUAGGCAGCACCAGUUUGAUGGUUGAGAUAAUGCAAAUGAAAUCAGUUAACUUGGGGUUAUGAUUUCCCAAGUCUAAGCACACAGAAACCAGUUGGGAGGGUUCUGAGGAAAAGAGGGAAUUAGUUGAAGGGAUCUGUAAGCAAACAGUAAUUAUGGAUAUAAGGGAUUAUAGCAUUUUUUGCCUGACAGAAGAAAGUGUGUGUAUUUAUAUGUGUUUACAGGUGUUUAAAACUUAAUGAUGUUAUUGUCUUGAAGGGAACUUGUCAUCUGGUGGAGAAGUAUAUUUCUGAAAGUAAGGGUAUGUAGGCCCUCAGUGAGGUGGAAGAAUAAGAAGGAUGGUAUGGUGGUUUCGGUGGUAUGACCAAAAUGCAGAUUUUGAAGACCUGUGUCAGUGGCAAGGGGAUGGUUGAGGUUGGAGUAGAGGAUAACAUCACUGGAGAUGAGGUGAUUAAGGAACUGAGUAGUCAGCCUGGGCAACACGGCAAGACCCCAUCUCUACAGAACGUUAAAAAAAAUUAGCCGGGCAUGGUGGUGCAUGCCUAUGGUCCUAGCUUCUUGAGAGGCUGAUGGAAGAGCAUCGCAAAUGAGAAGCGAGUGGCCACAAACCCUACUUCCUCUCCUUGUAUGAACAGCUUCUAGAUUGUGAAGGUGAAGAGGGACGGAAUAAACUUUUUGACUUGAUUCAGUCAGAACUUUAUGUAAGACCUGAUGACGUCCAUGUGAACAUCCGGCUAGUGGAGUUGUAUCGCUCAACUAAAAGAUUGAAGGAUGCUGUGGCCUGCUGCCAUGAGGCAGAGAGGAACAUAGCUUUGCCUUCAAGUUUAGAGUGGAAUUCGUGUGUUGUACAGACCCUUAAGGAAUAUCUGGAGUCUUUACAGUGUUUGGAGUCUGAUAAAAGUGACUGGCGAGCAACCAAUACAGACUUACUGCUGGCCUAUGCUAAUCUUAUGCUUCUUAUACUUUCUACUAGAGAUGUGCAGGAAAGUAGAGAAUUACUGGAAAGGUGCGUUGACUUUGAGGAGAAUGCUUUAGUAUAAAUUGUAGUUUUUCUUUUUGCAGUAAGUUCAUUGCUCUAAAUUUCUUUACUGAAUCAUUAUUUCUGUAAUGUACCUAGGAGUUAUAGUUAAUACAGUGAACCACUAGGAGGCAAUCUUAUUUUUCUUCUUUUACGGGGAAGUUCUAAUUGGUUUUAUAUGACUUUCCUUUUUAGAGAACUCUUAUAGUUCAAGCUUGAUUAAAAUUAGCCUUAUGGUUAAAUACUCAGUUUUGUCAUAGUCACGCUUAAAAUGAAUGUUCUAACUGCUAUUUCAUAUUUUAUUUUUUAUAAUAGUAUAAUCUUGAGUGAAAAUUAAAGUUCAUCUGUCAUCAGAUGGCUAGGUUCACAUGUACUAGUAUAAGCACUUAGCAUCACUGGUAUUUCAGAAAAUACUGUUUUAGCUAAGAAACAAAAUAACUCAACUAUGUGAUUUACCUUUUUUCCUAAAUUUUGAUUUUGAAAACCAGUGUCUCCA